GAUGAACGCUAGCGGCAGGCUUAACACAUGCAAGUCGAGGGGUAGAGCUAGCUUGCUAACUUGAGACCGGCGCACGGGUGCGUAACGCGUAUGCAAUCGACCUUGUACAGAGGGAUAGCCCAGCGAAAUUUGGAUUAAUACCUCGUAGUAUUAUUGAAUGCCAUCAUUUGUUCAUUAAUGUUCCAACGGUACAAGAUGAGCAUGCGUGCCAUUAGCUAGAGGGUAAGGUAACGGCUUACCAUGGCAACGAUGGGUAGGGGUCCGGAGAGGGAGAUCCCCCACACGGGUACUGAGACACGGACCAGAAUGCUACGGGAGGCAGCAGUGAGGAAUAUUGGUGAAUGGGCGCAAGCCUGAACCAGCCAUGACGCGUGGAGGAAGACGGUCCUAUGGAUUGUAAACUGCUUUUAUACGGGAAGAAACCCUGCUACGUUUAGCAGCUUGACGGUACCGUAAGAAUAAGCAUCGGCUAACUCCGUGCCAGCAGCCGCCGUAA
rnacentral:rRNA from 1 species